GAUGAACGCUGGCGGCGUGCUUAACACAUGCAAGUCGAACGAAGAGGCCCAGCUUUUGGGGUGGUGUCGUGGCGAGCGGGUGAGUGACACGCGAGUAAACUACCCAUCUAUCUGGGUUAAGUCUGGGAAACAGAGUGUAAUAAAGGCCAGAAGCGUUCUUCGCCCGGAGGGUGCUGGAAAGAUUUAGCGGUUUUGGAUGGAUUCUCGGCGAAUCAGCUCGUUGGUGAGGUAAUGGCUCACCAAGGCGAUGACGGGUAGCCGGCCUGAGAGGGUGACCGGCCACACUGGGACUGCGACACGGCCCAGACUCCUACGGGAGGCAGCAGUGGGGAAUAUUGCACAAUGGGCGCAAGCCUGAUGCAGCGACGCCGCGUGCGGGAUGACGGCCUUCGGGUUGUAAACCUCUUUCUGUAGGGAAGAAGCGAAAGUGACGGUACCUGCUGAAGAAGCACCGGCUAACUACGUG
rnacentral:rRNA from 1 species